GAUGAAAACGUAGCGAAAUGCGAUAAGUAAUGUGAAUUGCAGAAUUCAGUGAAUCAUCGAAUCUUUGAACGCACAUUGCGCCCCCUGGUAUUCCGGGGGGCAUGCCUGUUCGAGCGUCAUUUCACCACUCAAGCCUCGCUUGGUAUUGGGCGACGCGGUCCGCCGCGCGCCUCAAAUCGACCGGCUGGGUCUUCCGUCCCCUCAGCGUUGUGGAAACUAUUCGCUAAAGGGUGCCGCGGGAGGUCACGCCGCAAAACAACCCCAUUUCUAAGGUUGACCUCGGAUCAGGUAGGGAUACCCGCUGAACUUAAGCAUAUCAAUAAGCGGAGGA
rnacentral:misc_RNA from 1 species